rnacentral:rRNA from 1 species
CCUACGGGUGGCAGCAGUGGGGAAUAUUGCACAAUGGGGGAAACCCUGAUGCCGCGACGCCGCGUGAGUGAAGAAGUAUUUCGGUACGUAAAGCUCUAUCAGCAGGGAAGAAAAACCGGCUUUAGGGCCGCCAGACGGUACCUGACUAAGAAGCCACGGCUAACUACGUGCCUGCAGCCGCGGUAAUACGUAGGGGGCAAGCGUUAUCCGGAUUUACUGGGUGUAAAGGGAGGGUAGACGGCAGGGCAAGUCUGGAGUGAAAUGCCAGGGCCAAACCCCGGAACUGCUUUGGAAACUGUGCAGCUUGAGUGCGGGAGAGGUAAGCGGAAUGCCUAGUGUAGCGGUGAAAUGCGUAGAUAUUAGGAGGAACACCAGUGGCGAAGGCGGCUUACUGGACUGUGACUGACGUUGAGGCUCGAAAGCGUGGGGAGCAAACAGGAUUAGAUACCCCUGUAGUC